CUGGAGAGCCACUCCCCUCCUGACUUACCCAUGCACUUCCAGAACUCCACCGGGAUCUCGUCAGGCCCGGUCGCUCGACCCUUACUCAUCCUACGUAAAGCCUGCAUGAUCUCCUCCACCCUAAUGCGCCUGCAGUACCCAAGAUCUCUAUGUUGCUCUGUAUGCCCCAGCUCCCCUAGCUCUAUGUUACGAUCCCCCUCCUCGUUAAGUA
rnacentral:lncRNA from 1 species